rnacentral:tRNA from 1 species
ACUUAAAUAAUUUAAAAAAAAUAUUGAUUUGUGGAAUCAAAAAUGUGAUAAUUAAUUUCAUUUUAAGUC